rnacentral:other from 1 species
AAAACCCUGAGAUGCUCGUGAACCAACAUGUCCUUGAGCCGAUAAAUGUAAAUCCGGCAAUAUCUCGUUGAGUUUGGUGUGCAUGUCCGCCUGACGGAAAGCCUAAAAAACCACAGGUAUCGCCACCUUGAGCCUUUGGGUUCAAGGCCGGUUUGGUAGCGGCAUUUCGGGGUUUCU